GACGAACGCUGGCGGCGUGCCUAAUACAUGCAAGUUGAGCGCUGAAGGUUGGUACUUGUACCAACUGGAUGAGCAGCGAACGGGUGAGUAACGCGUGGGGAAUCUGCCUUUGAGCGGGGGACAACAUUUGGAAACGAAUGCUAAUACCGCAUAAAAACUUUAAACACAAGUUUUAAGUUUGAAAGAUGCAAUUGCAUCACUCAAAGAUGAUCCCGCGUUGUAUUAGCUAGUUGGUGAGGUAAAGGCUCACCAAGGCGAUGAUACAUAGCCGACCUGAGAGGGUGAUAGGCCAAAUUGGGACUGAGACACGGCCCAAACUCCUACGGGAGGCAGCAGUAGGGAAUCUUCGGCAAUGGACGAAAGUCUGACCGAGAAACGCCGCGUGAGUGAAGAAGGUUUUCGGAUCGUAAAACUCUGUUGGUAGAGAAGAACGUUGGUGAGAGUGGAAAGCUCAUCAAGUGACGGUAACUACCCAGAAAGGGACGGCUAACUACGUG
rnacentral:rRNA from 1 species